rnacentral:rRNA from 1 species
GACCCUACGGGACGCAGCAGUGAGGAAUAUUGGUCAAUGGGCGGGAGCCUGAACCAGCCAAGUCGCGUGAGGGAAGACGGUCCUAUGGAUUGUAAACCUCUUUAGGCGGGGAGCAAUGCCGGGCACGCGUGUCCGGAGGGAGAGUACCCGCAGAAUAAGCAUCGGCUAACUCCGUGCCAGCAGCCGCGGUAAUACGGAGGAUGCGAGCGUUAUCCGGAUUUAUUGGGGUUAAAGGGUGCGCAGGCGGAUUUUUAAGUCAGCGGUAAAAUCUCCGGGCUCAACCCGGGCCGGCCGUU